rnacentral:rRNA from 1 species
AACGAACGCUGGCGGCAUGCCUAACACAUGCAAGUCGAACGAGACCUUCGGGUCUAGUGGCGCACGGGUGCGUAACGCGUGGGAACCUGCCCUUAGGUUCGGAAUAACUCCCCGAAAGGGGUGCUAAUACCGGAUAAUGUCUUCGGACCAAAGAUUUAUCGCCUUUGGAUGGGCCCGCGUUGGAUUAGCUAGUUGGUAGGGUAAAAGCCUACCAAGGCGACGAUCCAUAGCUGGUCUGAGAGGAUGAUCAGCCACACUGGGACUGAGACACGGCCCAGACUCCUACGGGAGGCAGCAGUGGGGAAUAUUGGACAAUGGGUGAAAGCCUGAUCCAGCAAUGCCGCGUGAGUGAUGAAGGCCUUAGGGUUGUAAAGCUCUUUUACCCGGGAUGAUAAUGACAGUACCGGGAGAAUAAGCUCCGGCUAACUCCGU